UUCGGGAGCGAGUAAAGCGGCGCACGGGUGAGUAACACGUAGGUAACCUGCCCCCCAGUCUGGAACAACUAGAGGAAACUCUAGCUAAUGCCGGAUGAGACCACGAUCCCGUUCGGGGGUUGCGGCCAAGAUGGCCUCUACUUGUAAGCUAUCGCUGAGGGAUGGGCCUGCGGCCAUUAGCUUGUUGGUGAGGUAACGGCUCACCAAGGCUGUGAUGGCUAGCUGGUCUGAGAGGAUGACCAGCCACACUGGGACUGAGACACGGCCCAGACUCCUACGGGAGGCAGCAGUGGGAAUAUUGCGCAAUGGGCGAAAGCCUGACGCAGCGACGCCGCGUGGGUGAUGAAGGCCUUCGGGUCGUAAAGCCCUGUCGCAGGGGAAGAAUAAGCAUCGGUAUAAUACGCCGGUGCCCUGACGGUACCCUGCAAGAAAGCACCGGCUAACUCCGUG
rnacentral:rRNA from 1 species